rnacentral:RNase_P_RNA from 1 species
GCAGAGGGCAGUUGGGGUCGCUUGGUAAUUGCUAACGCAAUUACUGAGAGGAAAGUCCGGGCUCCUUCGGAAAUGGUGCCGGUUAAUAACCGGGAGGCAAUAGCGAAAGCUAUUACUUACAGAUAGCGCAACAGAAAGUAUACUGCCGUUCAGAUGCCUCGGUAUCCGAACGGUGAGGGUGAAAUGGCGGGGUAAGAGCCCACCGCGAUUCCGGUAACGGAACGGCAAGGCAAGCCUCAUCAGGAGCAAGGUCAAACAGUAAAGGGUUUUCCGACCCAUCUUUACGGGUAGACCGCUUGAGAUACACGGUAACGUGUUUUCCUAGAUAGAUGACCCCUGUCGUUUCCCGUUCGCGGGGAACGAAUACAGAACCCGGCUUACUCGCCCUCUGCUUUU